rnacentral:rRNA from 1 species
UACGUAGGGGGCAAGCGUUGUCCGGAUUUAUUGGGCGUAAAGAGCGUGUAGGCGGCCAUACAGGUCAGCUGUGAAAACUCCGAGGCGUCAACCUCGAGACGUCGGUUGAAACCGUAUGGCUAGAGUCCGGAAGAGGAGAGUGGAAUUCCCGGUGUAGCGGUGAAAUGCGCAGAUAUCGAGGAAGAACACCCGUGGCGGAAGGCGGCUCUCUGGGACGGUACUGACGCUGAGACGCGAAAGCGUGGGGAGCGAACAGG